rnacentral:rRNA from 1 species
AACGAACGCUGGCGGCGUGCCUAACACAUGCAAGUCGAACGCGAAAAGUAGCAAUACUGAGUAGAGUGGCGCACGGGUGAGUAACACGUAAAUGACAUGCCCUAUGGAUCGGGAUAACUGUUCGAAAGGAUAGCUAAUACCGGAUACGCAUACAGAUUUGGGUUUGUAUGGAAAGGAUCGGGACUAUUCGUAGCCGAUCGCCAUUGGAGUGGUUUGCGGCCCAUCAGCUAGUUGGCGAGGUAAAAGACUCACCAAGGCGAAGACGGGUAGCUGGUCUGAGAGGAUGAUCAGCCACACUGGAACUGAGACACGGUCCAGACUCCUACGGGAGGCAGCAGUGGGGAAUCUUUGCGCAAUGGGGAAACCCUGACGCAGCAACGCCGCGUGGGUGAUGAAGGUCUUCGGAUCGUAAAGCCCUGUCGGAGGGGAAGAUGCUUUGGAUGUCUAAUAGAUAACCAAGGUGACGGUACCCUUAAAGGAAGCACCGGCUAACUCUGU